UUCGACGGGGGCCCGCACAAGCGGUGAGCAUGUGGUUUAAUUCGAAGCAACGCGAAGAACCUUACAGGUCUUGACAUCCGAUGCUAUUUCUAGAGAUAGAAAGUUACUUCGGUACAUCGGUGACAGGUGGUGCAUGGUUGUCGUCAGCUCGUGUCGUGAGAUGUUGGGUUAAGUCCCGCAACGAGCGCAACCCUUAUCUUUAAUUGCCAGCAUUCAGUUGGGCACUUUAAAGAGACUGCCGGUGUUAAACCGGAGGAAGGUGGGGAUGACGUCAAGUCCUCAUGGCCUUUAUGCUUAGGGCUGCACACGUGCUACAAUGGGUGGUACAAAGAGAAGCCAACUCGCGAGAGCGCGCCAAUCUCAAAAAGCCAUCCUCAGUUCGGAUUGGAGUCUGCAACUCGACUCCAUGAAGUUGGAAUCGCUAGUAAUCGCGGAUCAGCAUGCCGCGGUGAAUACGUUCCCGGGCCUU
rnacentral:rRNA from 1 species